UACGUAGGGUGCAAGCGUUGUCCGGAAUUAUUGGGCGUAAAGAGCUCGUAGGCGGUCUGUCGCGUCUGCUGUGAAAACCUAGGGCUUAACUCUGGGCGUGCAGUGGGUACGGGCAGGCUAGAGUGCGGUAGGGGAGACUGGAAUUCCUGGUGUAGCGGUGAAAUGCGCAGAUAUCAGGAGGAACACCGGUGGCGAAGGCGGGUCUCUGGGCCACUACUGACGCUGAGAAGCGAAAGCAUGGGGAGCGAACAGG
rnacentral:rRNA from 1 species